rnacentral:rRNA from 1 species
AUUGAACGCUGGCGGCAGGCCUAACACAUGCAAGUCGAACGAGUGGCGGACGGGUGAGGAAUGUCUGGGAAACUGCCUGAUGGAGGGGGAUAACUACUGGAAACGGUAGCUAAUACCGCAUACCAUGAGAUGUGCCCAGAUGGGAUUAGCUUGUGGGUGGGGUAACGGCUCACCAAGGCGGCGAUCCCUAGCUGGUCUGAGAGGAUGACCAGCAGCACGGGAACUUGGACACGGUCCAGGGUCCUACGGGAGGCAGCAGUGGGGAAUAUUGGACAAUGGGCGCAAGCCUGAUGCAGCCAUGCCGCGUGUAUGACGAAGGCCGUCGGGGUGUAAAGUACUUUCAGCGGGGAGGCGUUACCCGCAGAAGAAGCACCGGCUAACUCCGUGCCAGCAGCCGCGGUAAUAC